rnacentral:tRNA from 1 species
CUUGUAGCCCAGUUGGAUAGAGCGUUUGGCUACGAACCAAAAGGUCGGGGGUUCGAAUCCCUUCAAGC